rnacentral:pre_miRNA from 1 species
GGCCCAAAUCUGAAGCAAAGUAGAUUAGUAGGAUUGACCGAUCCUACUGAAGUACUCUGCUUCAAGUUUGUACCC